CCGCCUUGAUGCCUGCAGAAUACGAAUUUCCUGCGAGGACGGCUUGGAAUGAGAGGACUGGCUUGUGGAGAUACACACACGCGGCUUCCCCUCUAAGCUUCCAGGGGAAUUUAAAGUCACAAAGUGAGAGGAGAUUGGUGCAGCGCCACACAGCAUCUGGGUUAUUGGGCACUCGUCGCCUUGGGCUUGUGUCAUCCGACCCAAACAAGAGAGAUCGUUUUGAUAUGUAGCAACUGGAGCACCGUCGAGGGAAGGAAGCACAAAGUGCUCUUUGGGGAAGCCUGCAAAGCUGAAGAAUGCUGCGAGCGCACUGCACGGGCCGCGCAGACUGCCGCGCUUGCAGCUCCGGGGAUGCGGCCGACCCAGACUCACGGCGGCGGCGGGAGAGUGACUUCCGGAGCGCACAGUCACUUUGGGAGGGCAAGCCUCCUGUUGCUCGAUUCCUCGCCACAACGCCUCCGCCGGUUGCGUCGGCAGCGUGGGACGGCAGGAUGCAGAGGACCCGCGUGUGCCCUCUCUCUUUUGGAUACGGGGCCGGCCCUGCCGACAUGAAACAGUCCUCCGGUGACAGUAACUAAAGAAAGCGGGCUCUGGGACUUGACUGCACUUUCUGGUUUUGUCUGAUGUCAGUAUUUUCAUGCACACAAGAAAUUCCAUGCUUUGCUUCUCGCCCAAACAUUUCUGAGUUUUCUGUACAGACGCUUCGGCCCCCUGGCCAAAGGCUGGAACCAUAAUAGAGAAAAAAUAAAUUUAAAAAUUAAAUGUG